GAUAGCCCGAUGAAAGUUGGAUUAAUACCGCAUAUAGCUAUAUAGUUGCAUGAUUAUGUAGUGAAAGAUUUAUUGGUAUAGGAGGAGUCUGCGGCACAUUAGCUAGUAGGUGAGGUAAAGGCUUACCUAGGCGACGAUGUGUAGCCGGUCUGAGAGGAUGAACGGCCACAAUGGAACUGAGACACGGUCCAUACUCCUACGGGAGGCAGCAGUGGGGAAUAUUGCACAAUGGGGGAAACCCUGACGCAGCAACGCCGCGUGAGUGAAGAAGGUUUUCGGAUUGUAAAGCUCUGUUAGCAGGGAAGAGGAAGGACGGUACCUGCAGAGGAAGCCACGGCUAACUACGUGCCAGCAGCCGCGGUAAUACGUAGGUGGCAAGCGUUGUUCGGAAUAACUGGGCGUAAAGGAUGCGUAGGCGGUUAAACAAGUUAUAUGUUAAAUAUAUAGGCUUAACCUGUAGAAAGCAUAUAAAACUGUUUAACUAGAGUGCAGGAGAGGUAAGUGGAAUUCCUAGUGUAGCGGUGAAAUGCGUAGAGAUUAGGAAGAACACCAGUGGCGAAGGCGACUUACUGGACUGUAACUGACGCUGAGGCAUGAGAGCAUGGGGAGCA
rnacentral:rRNA from 1 species